rfam:Enterococcus aquimarinus strain DSM 17690 Scaffold1, whole genome shotgun sequence.
GUGUCCUUUAAUGUAGUCCCGUGAGGCUAAGAAGGCAGUGAAGAGAGAUUGAGCUUAUUUGCGAAUAAGACUCGAUGAUCUCGUGUGGAAUUUCUAUGGCUUUUUGUGUAGCCAUAAAUCUAAAAACAGUCACUCCUACCUUAAAACGGGUAGGAGUUUUUUUAU